rnacentral:rRNA from 1 species
CACACCGCCCGUCAAGCCAUGGGAGCUGGUAGUACCCGAAAUCGCUGCAGCAACCCGCAAGGGGCAAGGCGCCUACGGUAAGACUGGUGACUGGGACU